GAUGAACGCUGGCGGCGUGCCUAAUCAUUCCAAGUGGGGGAAAAGACCGGGAACUUGCCUCCUCGACGUUUGCCGGCGACGGGGGGGUUAACCCUUGGUAACCUACCUUUUAGACCGGGGUAAACUUGGGAAACCCGGAGCAAAUACGGAUAAAUAUAUGAACCGGCUGGUUUAAUAGGUAAAGGAGGUUUUGGCUUUACCUAAUAGAUGGACCGCGCCGCAUUAGCUAGUUGGUAAGGUAACGGCUUACCAAGGCAACGAUGCGUAGCCGACCUGAGAGGGUGAUCGGCCACACUGGAACUGAGACACGGUCCAGACUCCUACGGGAGGCAGCAGUAGGGAAUCUUCCGCAAUGGGCGAAAGCCUGACGGAGCAACGCCGCGUGAGUGAUGAAGGUCUUCGGAUCGUAAAACUCUGUUAUUAGGGAAGAACAAAUGUGUAAGUAACUAUGCACGUCUUGACGGUACCUAAUCAGAAAGCCACGGCUAACUACGUG
rnacentral:rRNA from 1 species